rnacentral:misc_RNA from 1 species
UAUUUAAGCAAAUGCCAUCAAAGUAAGCACUUCUUUGUUUAACUGUGGGUAAAUGGGCAUAGAGUUUUUUAGACUGUGCAUGUCCCCAUUAGAAGAGAGAAAUGCAGAUCUAAUCCUGUCCCUUACAGAGCUUCUUCAAGAUCUUUUGAAGGUGUAGGUGAAACCAACGCUUCAUUGAAAGCUAUUGUUGUAUUAAAAUAGCAGGAAACUAAUUUAAUGAAUAACUUUAAUGUUGUUGACAGCCACUAUUUCAUUAGAUUUCUGCUGCAUUUUUAAAUUAUUGUAAAGGGAUCCUAAUGAGUGUGACAUAAAUUUAUAAUUUUAAGAAUGUUGUGUUACUGUUUGAAAGCAAGGAUUUGAAUGAGGAUAAGAUACAUCAAAAUUACCUUUCUAUAAAUUAUGGAUACAUGGUAUUUUCAGUCUGAACUCAGAGAUGUUAAAGUUCCAUUACAUCGGGCGAGGACCAAUUUGUGGUGUGGCAUUCGAGGAGAUUGAAACUAUUAUUUGAUUGAUUAGUUACCUAUGAUGAUAGGCUUCCUUUUAUGAUAUGGUGUAUAAAUGUUCAUGUGUUCCUGCCAAAGUAGCUCUUUCUAGGACUUUAUGCUUGAUUGGGAGUUUUGGAGCCAAUUCAUUCUUUUUUACUUGGGUGGAGGGAGAGUUCUUGAUACAUGUAAAAUGUUUGAGACUUUGCAAGUUGGCAUAAGUUCUGUUUAGAAAGAGAUGUAUCUCAGUCAGGAGAGCUAAAAUGUGCAGCUUGACAUGGUGAUCAUGGUUUGAGAGUAAUAUUACUAAAUUUCUAGUAUUGGAGCAAUGAUAAUGUACUAAAUACUCUUAUUCUGUGCAAUCUUUUGCUCAGAUGGUUGACUAGUCCUCUCUCUUAAAUUUUUCAUUCUCUUUGCAUGCCUAAUAUUUCUUUGGAUAUGAGGUGGAUGCUCUUCUAUGCAUCUUGUGUACAUAUGGGUUUCAUUCUCUUAGCUUUCUUGUGGCAAAAUUUAUGAUAUAUUACCUAUUAUUGAUAUCAUCCUCUUGAUAACUAGUUCAUUUAUUUUAUUAUGUUGUCCGUUCAGGUCUGUUUUGUACUUCAUCGUGUG